rnacentral:rRNA from 1 species
UACAGAGGUCCCAAGCGUUGUUCGGAUUCACUGGGCGUAAAGGGUGCGCAGGUGGUCGGGUAAGUCUGACGUGAAAUCCCGCAGCUUAACUGCGGAAUGGCAUUGGAUACUAUUCGGCUAGAGGGUUGGAGGGGGGGACUGGAAUUCUCGGUGUAGCAGUGAAAUGCGUAGAUAUCGAGAGGAACACCAGUGGCGAAGGCGAGUCCCUGGACAACUCCUGACGCUGAGGCACGAAAGCUAGGGGGAGCAAACAGG